rnacentral:rRNA from 1 species
AUGGAACCAUGGGAGAGAAACGGGAGCGAGAGUGCCAAGAAGACGAAGACCACGCCGGCGCCGCCGGUGGCCCCCCUCGGCGAUGAUCUCCUGGGCGAGAUCUUCCUCCGCCUCCCCGACAUGGCGUCGCUUGCCAGCGCCGCCCUCGUCUGCAAGAGCUGGGGCCGAGUAGCCUGCGUCCCGGCCAUCUACCGCCGCUUCCAGUCCCUUCGCAGGCCCCCACUCGUCGGCUUCAUCCUCACCGACCGCAGCGACAUGCCUGUUCCUCACCACUGCCCUAAACUCCGCUUCGUCCCCGCCGAAUCCCGUAAUCCCGAUCUGGUCUCCGCCGCCGUUGACGGCGACUUCUUCGAAGACCUCCCCGCCAUAGAUUCGGACGACGACGGCGAAGGGGAGUACUACGAGGAGUGGCGCCUCCGCGGCUGCGACGGCGGCCUCCUCCUCCUUUCCCGCGGCCGCUAUGCGCUGGAUCUCGCCGCGUAUGACCCCCUCGCGCGGACGGCCGUCUUCUUCCGCCCUCCCCACGCCUGGCGCUAUUCGUCCCACAUCGUCCGCUACUCCAUCUUGGUGGACGAUGCCGACGCCUCGUUCCGGGUCAUCGGCAUGGAGCGGUGGGCCGGCUCACACUCCGCCGUCUUCUCCUCCCGCACCCGCGAGUGGGACAUGAUUGCCUCGUCCGAUACGAACCAUGCAGUGUAUAGCUUUAUACGAUGCUGGAGCGACGGCAUGCCCGCGGGCCGGUACGUGUACUGGCGGUCGGACACCAAGAAGUCCCGGUACUGCAAGGACGACGAGAAGAUCUUGGUGCUGGACAUGGAAGCAAUGGUGUGGUCGGUUAUCAAACCGCCAAUCCCUCCUGGCGAAUCGUACUGUGUCGCAGACAUGGCGGAGCACGGCGGACUCUGCAUUGUGUCCAGCAAAGAGCAGUGCGUGCAGCUCUGGGUCCGUGACAGCAAUGCUGAGUGGAUGCUCAAGAAGGAGGUUUCGUUGCUGAAUGAGUUUGGAUACCUGAAGAAGCUUCGUCUUGAGGAGUGGAUGAAGCGCGUGCGCGUCCUGGCUAUGUGUACAUGGAGUUUUGGUCCAUAA